UACAGAGGGUGCGAGCGUUGUCCGGAAUCACUGGGCGUAAAGGGCGCGUAGGCGGUGGCUUAAGCGUGUGGUGAAAGCUUCGGGCUCAACCCGGAGUCGGCCAUGCGAACUGGGCAGCUGAGCAUGUCAGAGGCAGGCGGAAUUCCGGGUGUAGCGGUGGAAUGCGUAGAGAUCCGGAAGAACACCGGUGGCGAAGGCGGUUACCUGGACAGUUACUGACGCUCAGGCACGAAAGCGUGGGGAGCAAAAGGG
rnacentral:rRNA from 1 species